AUACGGAGGAUCCAAGCGUUAUCCGGAUUUAUUGGGCGUAAAGAGUGAGCGGGCGGUUAAUUAAGUCUGAGGUUAAAGCGUGGGGCUCAACCCCAUAAAGCCUUGGAAACUGAUUGACUAGAGUACGGGAGAAGUGAAGGGAACUCCAUGUGUAGCGGGGAAAUGCGUAGAUAUAUGGAAGAACACCAGUGGCGAAGGCGCUUCACGAGCCCGAAACUAACGCUAAGUCUCGAAAGAGUGGGUAGUAAAUAGCACUAGAUACUCUAGGAAUCCGCGCUAGAAACGAUGAUAAUUAAAUAUUGCGGCGGGGCGGUGGAAAAGCUAACGGAUUAAGUUGUCCGCGUGGGGAGUACGGUCGCAAGAUUGAAACUUAAAGUAAUUUACGUGG
rnacentral:rRNA from 1 species